rnacentral:rRNA from 1 species
UUGAGAACUGGGAUGAAAGGUUUAAUAAAAAAUAAUCUUUAUUAAUUUUAAAAUUUUUGAAUUUAUUUUUUUAGUAAAAAAACUAAAAUAAUUUAAAAAGACGAUAAGACCCUAUAAAGCUUUAUAAAUUUUUAUUUAACAAUAAAUUAGAAUAAUAAAUUUUUUAUAUAUAUAUUUAUUUAAUUGGGGUGAUUUAAAGAUUUAAAAAACUCUUUAAUAAAAAAAAUUUUCAUAAUUAAGUGUUUUUUGAUCCUUUAUAUUUAAGAAUAAUAAAAUAAGUUACUUUAGGGAUAACAGCGUAAUUUUUUUGAAGAGUUCUAAUCGAUAAAAAAGAUUGCGACCUCGAUGUUGAAUUAAGAUAAAAAUUAGGUGUAGAAGUUUAAUUUUC